UACGUAGGGUGCAAGCGUUAAUCGGAAUUACUGGGCGUAAAGCGUGCGCAGGCGGUUGUGCAAGACAGAUGUGAAAUCCCCGGGCUUAACCUGGGAACUGCAUUUGUGACUGCACGGCUAGAGUGUGUCAGAGGGGGGUAGAAUUCCACGUGUGAGCAGUGAAAUGCGUAGAUAUGUGGAGGAAUACCGAUGGCGAAGGCAGCCCCCUGGGAUAACACGUGACGCCUGC
rnacentral:rRNA from 1 species